GCUCGAAAGAGAACCUGGGCACAGGUGCUGCAUGGCUGUCGUCAGCUCGUGCGUGAGAUGUUGGGUUAAGUCCCGCAACGAGCGCAACCCUUGUCAUUAGUUGCCAUCAUUUAUUGGGCACUCUAAUGAGACUGCCGGUGACAAACCGGAGGAAGGUGGGGAUGACGUCAAGUCCUCAUGGCCCUUAUGGGUAGGGCUUCACACGUCAUACAAUGGUCGGUACAGAGGGUUGCCAAGCCGCGAGGUGGAGCCAAUCCCAGAAAGCCGAUCGUAGUCCGGAUCGGAGUCUGCAACUCGACUCCGUGAAGUCGGAAUCGCUAGUAAUCGUGGAUCAGCAUGCCACGGUGAAUACGUUCCCGGGUCUU
rnacentral:rRNA from 1 species